GGGGCGCUGCAGUGCGUCCUCCGCGAAGCCUUCCCGGCUCGGGAGCUGAGCCAGUCCUCUUGAGACCCCCAGCCCUUAACUGGAAUGUCUGCGUCCCCUUCCCUCGGGCUGGUGGUGGGAGAAUCUGCAGUUUGUUCGCCUGCCCCUCCCAGCGUCCGACCAGAAACAGCAGGCACACAGGGGGCGCCUGCUGAGUGUGUGAACCCCCACGGUAAAGCAGGGCACUCUGCGAGAGAAAAACGGUAACAGCAGUGGUCACUCUGUCUCACACCUUCCCAGGCUGGGCGCUCUCAUGCACUCCUGGUUCCAUCUGCGCCCAGGAUAAAUGCAGCGGUGCUGGUCUGCAUUUCGGAGAGGAGAAAACGGAAACCAAAAAGGAUGGACCAUGGAAUGAGCUGAGAGAGGCCCCCUCCCCAUCUCCUCAGCCACCACCGAACUUCCCCUUCCCGACUGCCCUCGUGGGUGGGGCCCUCAGAGACCGGGGACGAGUAGGAGACCAACAGAGGACUUAGCAACGCCCCAAGCCUCUGUGUUGCAGCAACAGGCCAGUAGGCAAGGUGGCACUGCACUUGGGCCAGACUUCCUUUUGCUUAUGGAGCAUGCGGCAGCCCCAGGCCACAGGCCGGAGCCCCCACCCUGGGCCACUGAGAAUGUUCUGCGGCAGGCCGAGGACUGGACAACCAGCCUCAAGACAGAGCUUCCCUCAGAUCUACAACUGAGUGAGGAGCAGCGGCUGCAGAUCUCCAAGGAGUUGGUUUACCUGCAGAUCACAACGCAUCACUUGCGGGAGCAACACGAGGCUGAACUCUUCGAGCUGAAGAGUGAGGUCCUGCGGCUGGAGAGCCGGGUGCUGGAGCUGGAGCUGCACGGAGAUUGUGCAGCCCCGGCAGAGGCUGACCUGGGGCGCCGCCAGAAGCUGGCACAGGGGCUUGGGCACAAGGCCCAGGAGCAGGUACACUCCAUCCACCACAGACCCCAGGUCACCCUAAGUGCAUGGAGGGCCUGCCUGGGUGGAUUGGGCGGCGGGGAGCCAAACAGGGGUGCACAGGGGCGCAGUGAGGUUGGGACCGGCUCUCCUGUACAGGCACAGCCUGAGGACUUCUUGACCCCUAAGACCGAACAACAGAAGCUGGGGAACAGUGUGAGUGUGCAGCUCCCUAGCCUGGGAAUUAGUGCAGAUCUGUCCCUGCCCAGGGUGCGGCUGGGCAAGGCCAGGGACCCAGAGCUUGGGGUCUCAUUCAGCCAGCCCUUGUGUACCCGGCAGCUACAGGGAGAAUGGCAGCGAGUGCUGGAGCAGCACAGGGCCCAGAAGCAGGCACUGGAGACCCGCGUGGCAGAUCUGGGUCGGCGGCUGCAGGGAGCCCGAGAGGAGGCCAGGAUAGCUGGGCAGCGACUGGCCACACAAGCCAUGGUAUUGUCUGCCUGCCAGGGCCAGCUCCGCCAGGCUGAGGCGGAGAACGCCCAGCUGCAGCUGCAGCUCAAGAGGCUGAACCAAGAGUAUGCCAUCCAGCUGCAGCGAUGUGCCCAAGCCGUGGCCGAGUCUGCAAAGCGCACCGGCCAGGUGCCCGAAGCCGCAGCCCUUAGGACGUUCCUGGAGACCACUCUGGAGGACAUCCGGGCAGCACACCGCAGCCGUGAACAGCAGUUGGCCCGGGCUGCUCGCGCCUACCGCAAGCGCCUGGCAGAUCUGAGCCGUAGACAUGAGGAGCUGCUGGCCAACCACAGUGUGCAGCAGGUGCCGGCAGACCCCAGUGGGGCACCCUGGACCCCCAAGGCUACCUUUGAUGCAGCCACCUCAGACCUGGAGCCACUGCCUCUGCACCUGGUCACCAAACUCAGUCACCUACCAGAGAACCAGGCCAGGCUGGAGACGAAGUUUUGGAAGCUCCAGGCCCAGCCUUUCCAGUCCAAUGGGCUCAUGACGCUGCUCUUGUUCCUACAGAAGGGACCCAGUGGAGCCUCCCAGGGGAGCACAUCAGAGCCACAGGGCCAGGAACCUGCCUCCUGGGCCCAGAUCCACCAGAAGCUCCAGGACUUCUCCCGUGGCACCCAGAGCUGGAACGUGAGCGGGCAAAGCUACUAGUCCGGGCCACAAUGGCUGAGGAGCAACUUUCUGAGCUACAGGACUAUGUGGACCAGCACUUAGGCAGGUACAAACAAGAGAUCCUGAGGCUGAGGAAGCUAAUGGGUACAGAGGAUGCCUGCAAAGUGGGGGCCACCCCUCCAGUCAAGCCCCAGCACUCCAAGACCCGCAGCCGCUAGCCAGCUGUCAAAUGCACUCAGCAGAACUCUUCGCAGCCGGCAUGGAACCCUCCUCACAGCACCCCCUUGCGGGCAGGGGUCAUGCCACCCAAUCCUCCACCUAACAAGAGUCAGUACGUGUA